rnacentral:tRNA from 1 species
GACAUGGCUCAGUGGUGGGGCUCUUGCCUAACAUGAGCAAGGUCCUGGGUUUGAUUCCCAGCACGACA